rnacentral:misc_RNA from 1 species
GGGUGAUUUGAUGCCUAUGCUCUGAAAAGAGCUGCUUGAAUAUGCUUUUCUGAGUUUCAAUGAUCUUAAAUUAAUUGCAUGAUCACAUAAGGUUGGAAUGACCCAAGAUUUUCAUAAUUAAAUGAAUUUUUAUCAUUAUUGAGGUAAUGUGCAUUGAGAGUUCUGUACAUCUUUUCUGGGCGAGGUUAAGAAAAUAAGUGGUGCUACUUGCAUAUGUGAAAGCAAGGAUUAAGAUUAGUGAAUUGGAUUUCACACCUCUUUUUAUGCACAAUAUAUACUUUUCUUUCAACACUUGAAGAUCACAUUCACUGACCAUCAAUCAGUUGCUCUU